rnacentral:tRNA from 1 species
GUCGCUUAGUGGUAGAGUGCAUUUUUGGUAUGCAUGAGGCCCUGGGUUCAAUUCCCAGC